rnacentral:lncRNA from 1 species
AUUUAUAAAUAUAGAAAAAUGUUGUUAAAUAUUUUUAAAAAAAUUUAAAAACGCUUUAAAAAAUCAAAAAACGUUUUUAAAAAUCAAAAAACGUUUUUAAAAAUAAAAAAAACGUUUUAAAAAAUCAAAACAACGUUUUUUAAAAUCAAAAAACGUUUUUAAAAAUCAAAAAAUGUUCCAAAAAAAAACUAAAACAACAAUCCAAACAACAAUCCUAACUUAUAUAUC